rnacentral:tRNA from 1 species
GCGGGAAUAGCUCAGUUGGUAGAGCGCAACCUUGCCAAGGUUGAGGUCGCGAGUUCGAUCUCGUUUCCCGCUCCA